UAGGGAAUCUUCGGCAAUGGGGGGAACCCUGACCGAGCAACGCCGCGUGAGUGAAGAAGGUUUUCGGAUCGUAAAGCCCUGUUGUUAAGGAAGAACGAGUGUGAGAAUGGAAAGUUCAUGCUGUGACGGUACUUAACCAGAAAGGGACGGCUAACUACGUGCCAGCAGCCGCGGUAAUACGUAGGUCCCGAGCGUUGUCCGGAUUUAUUGGGCGUAAAGCGAGCGCAGGCGGUCAAUUAAGUCUGAUGUGAAAGCCCCCGGCUCAACCGGGGAGGGUCAUUGGAAACUGGUUGACUUGAGUGCAGAAGAGGAGAGUGGAAUUCCAUGUGUAGCGGUGAAAUGCGUAGAUAUAUGGAGGAACACCAGUGGAGGAGGCGACUCUCUGGUCUGUAACUGACGCUGAGGCUCGAAAGCGUGGGUAGCAAACAGG
rnacentral:rRNA from 1 species